rnacentral:rRNA from 1 species
AGCGAACGCUGGCGGCAGGCCUAACACAUGCAAGUCGAACGAACCCUUCGGGGUUAGUGGCGGACGGGUGAGUAACACGUGGGAACGUGCCUUUAGGUUCGGAAUAACUCAGGGAAACUUGUGCUAAUACCGAAUGUGCCCUUCGGGGGAAAGAUUUAUCGCCUUUAGAGCGGCCCGCGUCUGAUUAGCUAGUUGGUGGGGUAAUGGCUCACCAAGGCUACGAUCAGUAGCUGGUCUGAGAGGAUGACCAGCCACAUUGGGACUGAGACACGGCCCAAACUCCUACGGGAGGCAGCAGUGGGGAAUCUUGCGCAAUGGGCGAAAGCCUGACGCAGCCAUGCCGCGUGGAUGGUGAAGGUCUUAGGAUUGUAAAAUCCUUUCACCGGUGAAGAUAAUGACUGUAGCCGGAGAAGAAGCCCCGGCUAACUUCGUGCCAGCCGCCGCAGUAAGAC